rnacentral:misc_RNA from 1 species
GGACUAUCAGCAAUUGCCCUGUUGUAUUUAAUCUACUGGACCUAAGUGGAAAUACAAGGGCUUGCAAAAACACCGCCUUGAAGCUCGACAAAUUGAAGUUUGAGCAAUACAAGCUUAUGGUUGGACAUCGUCUACCAGAUGAUGUGAAUCUGCAAAUGCAUAACUGUCUCGAGAAGAUUACAACUUUAGAAAACUGAUUGUAUUGUUGGCAUGUAUAGGAAGUCUAUUUCAA